GAUAGGUCGGCGAGCUCGACGCUGGCCCUUUAACGGCCCCUUCCCGGGGGCCUGCUCAGCGCUUGCGCACUGAGGUUCUGCGCUUGUCAUCAUGGCGACGCGGGGCCAUGUGCAGGACCCUAACGACCGGCGCCUCCGGCCCAUUUACGAUUAUCUUGAUAAUGGAAAUAAUAAAAUGGCAAUUCAGCAAGCUGAUAAACUGUUGAAGAAACACAAAGAUCUUCACUGUGCAAAGGUUCUCAAGGCCAUUGGUUUACAGAGAACUGGCAAGCAGGAAGAAGCUUUCACCUUGGCUCAGGAGGUGGCUGCCCUUGAGCCCACAGAUGACAACUCCCUGCAGGCCCUGACGAUUCUCUACCGAGAGAUGCACCGGCCGGAGUUAGUCACAAAGCUCUAUGAGGCGGCUGUGAAGAAAGUUCCCAACAGCGAGGAGUACCACUCUCACCUCUUCAUGGCCUAUGCCAGAGUGGGCGAGUACAAGAAGAUGCAGCAGGCUGGCAUGGCUCUGUAUAAGAUUGUCCCCAAAAACCCUUACUACUUUUGGUCAGUGAUGAGCUUGAUCAUGCAAUCUAUAUCCGCACGGGAUGAGAACCUCUCCAAAACCAUGUUUCUGCCCCUGGCGGAGAGAAUGGUAGAGAAGAUGGUGAAGGAGGACAAGAUAGAGGCUGAAGCUGAGGUUGAACUUUAUUACAUGAUUCUGGAGCGCUUGGGAAAGUACCAGGAAGCCCUGGAUGUCAUUAGAGGAAAAUUAGGAGAGAAGUUGACAAGUGAAAUUCAGAGUCGGGAAAACAAAUGCAUGGCCAUGUACAAGAAGCUGAGCAAGUGGCCGGAGUGCAACGCCCUUUCCCGACGCCUCCUUCUGAAAAACUCAGAUGACUGGCAGUUCUAUCUGACUUAUUUCGAUUCUGUCUUUCGACUGAUUGAGGAAGCCUGGACGCCGCCUGCUGAGGGGGAACACUCCUUAGAAGGGGAAGUACACUGCUCUGCAGAAGAUGCUGUGAAGUUUAUAGAGGACAGGAUAACAGAGGCAUCACAAAGCUCUCGACAUGUCCGAGGCCCACACCUAGCUAAGCUGGAGCUCAUCAGGCGCUUGCGGAGCCAAGGCUGUAAUGACGAAUACAAGCUGGGUGACCCUGAAGAGUUAAUGUUCCAGUAUUUCAAGAAGUUCGGGGAUAAGCCAUGCUGCUUCACAGACCUGAAGGUGUUCGUUGACCUCUUGCCUGCCGCCCAGUGCACACAAUUCAUUAACCAGCUCCUUGGAGUUGUUCCAUUGUCGACGCCGACAGAGGAUAAGCUUGCCCUGCCGGCCGACAUCCGAGGCCUGCAGCAGCAUCUGUGUGUUGUGCAGCUGACACGGCUCCUUGGCUUGUACCACAGCAUGGAUAAGAGUCAGAAGCUGGAUGUGGUCAAAGAACUGAUGUUAAGGUACCAGCACGGACUGGAGUUUGGGCGCUCUUGUUUGAAGACAGAGUUGCAGUUCUCAGACUAUUACUGCCUGCUCGCUGUUCAUGUGCUCAUUGAUGUAUGGAGAGAAGCAGGUGAGGAGACUGCGGUCUGGCAGGCCCUGACUCUGCUGGAAGAAGGCUUAACCCACAGCCCAUCCAAUGCUCAGUUCAAAUUGCUACUUGUUCGGAUCUACUGCGUGCUGGGUGCAUUUGAACCAGUGGUGGAUCUCUACUCCAGUCUCGAUGCUAAGCACAUCCAGCACGACACCAUUGGCUAUCUUCUGACCCGAUAUGCUGCAUCCCUGGGUCAGUAUGCUGCUGCCUCCCAGUCCUGUAACUUUGCACUCAGGUUUUUCCACUCCAACCAGAAAGAUAUACUGCAGGCAAACAGCUGGCCGAGGUGUCCCCUGGGGGUUUAAAAGCCGCAUCGAAUGCAGUUGACUUAGCACCCGUGGCGCAGCCCCACGGCUUGAAAUGAACCCUGCGAGGCUGUGUAUCAGAGGACCUCAGAAUACAUUAUUCAAGCUUACAAAUAUGGUGCAUUUGAGAAGAUCCCAGAGUUUAUCGCUUUUAGGAACAGGCUGAAUAAUUCUCUCCAUUUUGCACAAGUACGCACUGAGCGGAUGCUGUUAGACCUUCUACUUGAAGCAAACAUAUCAAUUAGCUUGGCAGAAAGUAUCAAAUCAAUGAAUCUGAGGCCAGAGGAAGAUGAUGUUCCAUGGGAAGAUUUGCGAGACAACAGAGACUUGGAUGUUUUCUUCAGUUGGGAUCCAAAAGACAGGAAUGUUUCUGAAGAGCAUAAGAAACUCUCCUUGGAGGAAGAAACCAUGUGGUUAAGAAUUCGCUCCUUAACGUUGAGGCUGAUCAGUGGACUUCCAAGUCUUACCCACCCUGUGGAGCCCAAGAACUCAGAGAAGAUGUCAGAGAACGGUGUGUCCUCCCGGAUCGACAUCCUUCGUUUGCUCCUCCAACAGCUAGAGGUGGCCGUGGAGACGGGGAAGCGGUUUAUUGAGAAGGAAAUUCAGUACCCCUUCCUUGGGCCUGUUCCCACCAGGAUGGGCAGGUUCUUCAGUUCUGGCUGCUGUCAGUGCCAAGUCCAGUCCUUCCAUCUGGUCAGCGACAUGUAUGAGCUUGACACCAGUGGCUUAGAGGGUACAGUGGAUAUACAGGAACGAAUAGAAAAUAGUCUUGCAUCUUUACUAGAACUAUUGAAAGGUGUCUUCAGCACAUGUAAAGGGGACCUCUUAGAAGUUACAGAUGGCAAUGUGAAGACCCAGCCUGCAGUCCUAGAGAAUCUGGUCUUCUUCGUUGAGACUAUUUCUGUCAUCCUUUGGGUGUCCAGUUACUGUGAAAGUGUCUUGCGACCAUACAAAUUAAAUAUCCAGAAAAAGAAAAAGAAGAAAAAAGAAACGAGCAUCAUCAUGCCUCCAAUCUUCACCAGUUUCCAAGACUACGUUACUGGACUUCAGACUGUAAUUUCCAAUGCUGUGGAUCAUAUUAAAGGACUUGAAGCACAUCUGAUUGCACUUAGACUUGAGGAGCUCACGUUAGAGGAAACUUCUAUCUCUACGGAAGAAAGAAAAUUUUCAAAGACUGUGCAGGGGAAAGUCCAGAGCAGUUACCUGCACUCACUUCUGGAGACAGGGGAGCUGCUGAGAAAAAGACUUGAGACUACAAAGAAACUAAAAAUUUAAGGAAUUCUGAACCAUAAACACCGAAGGUUCCACAGCAGAAGAUGACACACCACCUUCCCCAGCAAAAACAACAUCUGGCUGGCAUUGUUCUAAUCCAGAACUUCCUCACAAAUGCAUGAAGGACUUUGAUCGUGAAUUAAUUUUUGAGGUAUUAAAUAUAUACAACAAAUUAAAUUAUUGUAUAUAAACCAGAAGCAGGACCCUCAUCUGGGUUUACCACUCUUUAUACCUGUCCAUACAUACAGGACAGCAACAAGAGCACCCCACCUCACUCCCAGCUCCAGGAAUGGCUGGGGUGGACAUUUCUAUACAAGCAGCAAUAGAGAAUAAGUAUAGCAUCGACCUCAGAGCAGGUGGGUUGCUUUUUCAUCAUGCAGUGGGAGUUUGGGUUGGGUAGCCCAUACUGUAGCCGUAUGAGGCAAAAGCAGGUGUAGGAGACCCAGGAGCAGGACCCUUCCCUCAGUGGCAGGUUCCUUGUGCCAUCCCACAGAACCGGGAUGGACCCACAGAGGCUCAAGGGAGAUGUGGCUGAGUACGUGCCACCACAGGGCACCACACAUGACCACAGGUGCUCAGUUUUGGCUUCACAGCCCCAGCAGCCAAGACAUCCCCAGCCCCGCUCCUGGGAGAGCUCAGCCUCAGGGCAGUGAGGAAGUCCAAGUUCUGCCCACUUUGAGGAAGAAAUCUGAGCACAGCCCACCGUGAGCUUCGUAAACUGCUGAGACUGAGCCCCGCUGGUCUUCUGGGAAAGGUGGAAAAGCUGUUGGAAGAGGUUGUACGUGGUGUGUGCAGGCGAGUCUGAUAUUUGUGUCGUCAUUAAGUCACCUUGUGCAGCUGAUUGAUGAGUCACACACAGAUACACAUAUGCAUAAAUAUGCUUGGAAACAGAUUUACUACUCUAGUGCUUUUAAGGGGGGCUUUGGGAUGGAAGGAUUAAAUAUGGGUUUAACCUAGGUUUUUAAGUUUUAGGUUGAAAAAGGUAUGUUUUAUAAUGGGCCUGAUGUUGGUGUCCUGUUGACACUUAAGAACUGCAUCAGGGUGUAUUCAUGUUGUUCACCUAAGGUUGGUGGCCUGUUCCCUAAGCCUCCAGCUUAAGAGGCUGGUCUGCGAGAAGAUGAAAACUGCUCUUGAUUAUGUCAUGCCGAGCUCCGACAGCGCUUUCCGUGACUGUUUUGUGUCUGAAUCUCCUCUCUCACUUCUGUUCUUGUUCCCUGUCACUUUAUUCCUGAGAGUAACUGUAAGGUGAAAAGAUGACUUGGUGAGGACUGGUCUUUCCCAUGGACUGCUCCAGCAGCACACCAUUGCAUUCUUUAUCGUAACUGUCUGGGAUUCACAAAUCAGCAUAGUGGUUAACUAAUUUACUUGUAAGGAAAUGUGUGCAAACUACUUUCUUACUUGUAGGAUGUGCUGGAGCCUACAUCAUGGUUGCAUCAGAGUAUCACGUGCUCCAUCCCCAAAAAAAGGGCCUUUUUGAAUAAGAUGGGUUGAAGACCCUGAUUUUGACUUGCCUUGAACACCACCUUGUGGUACUGUUCUGUAGUUGUGGCCUGUUUCCCAUGGGACUGGGUGGGCGUUUGCUUGCACUGCCCUGGCUCCUGGAAUAAUGUUUCUUGGGAUAUUCAAAUUGUGCUGUGUGUUCACGGUCACAGAUGCUCUAAAUCAAGCUCUGUCAGCUGACCAUGGUCCGUAUGGACUGCAUGGGCUGGCUAUGGCCCUCAGGCAUAGCUCCUUCCUCUAAUGGUCUAUCCUGUCAGUCUCCUGCUCUAACAUGUAGGGCCUCCACUGGUCUUGUUGACAAAUAAUGUCAUGGUGGGGUUACACUUCCUCUGUUACUUGCUGAUUUUCUUACUAAAUGUAGCAUUUCAAUCAGAUCUAAUUCUUACAUUUUGAGAUAACUGUAAAAAGAGUGAAAUUAUGAAAUGGCCAAUAUCUUUUAUCAGUCUAUUCUUUUGGAAGCUGUCAUGCACUAUACAUUGUGUACAGUUAAAAGUAUAUAUAUAUAUAUAUUCUUACUGAGUGAACGCCUCCUCUCCCCACGCCUGUAUGUCACUAGCAUCUAAGGAGAAUGCUCAAGGCCCAGUGCUGCUGCUGCUGUGGUUUAUAUGGGUUUUGUUCUGUUUUGUUUUUGUGUGGUAAAUUGAUAUUUAAAAACAACAAAAACCACGACUACUGUUUACAGACUGAAAAAAAACAAUCACUGCUUUUUAUACUACUGAGAUCCUAAGUCAAGACUUUGCAAAGCAGGAAUCGGGUUCAAGUUACUUCUUUGCUGUGGACGGAUAGUCCUCUGUAGUAUCUCCACAUGAUGGAGAGUGCACAAACCUAGGUGUGCUGCCAUCAAUUUUGUAUAUUUUCAUAAUUUUAAUUGUUCGAAAUUGCAUUAUAUUUUGCAAUCACCACAUUCAAUCUGUAUAUGUCUUUCAUUUCAACUUUUUCAAUACAAAAAGGGAUUCAAUUUAUCUGCAGGUUUGUUGAGACUCUUCCUACUUUUUUAUGUGAUUUAUUGGUAUGGGAAAUCUUCUCUUGAGAACUAAGUGCAGGCAGAAAAUCAGCUUUAACUGGACAGGCUAAUUUACAUAAAUGUUUUUAUUUUAAGUUG